GACGAACGCUGGCGGCGUGCCUAAUACAUGCAAGUCGAACGCUUCUUUCCUCCCGAGUGCUUGCACUCAAUUGGAAAGAGGAGUGGCGGACGGGUAAGUAACACGUGGGUAACCUACCCAUCAGAGGGGGAUAACACUUGGAAACAGGUGCUAAUACCGCAUAACAGUUUAUGCCGCAUGGCAUAAGAGUGAAAGGCGCUUUCGGGUGUCGCUGAUGGAUGGACCCGCGGUGCAUUAGCUAGUUGGUGAGGUAACGGCUCACCAAGGCCACGAUGCAUAGCCGACCUGAGAGGGUGAUCGGCCACACUGGGACUGAGACACGGCCCAGACUCCUACGGGAGGCAGCAGUAGGGAAUCUUCGGCAAUGGACGAAAGUCUGACCGAGCAACGCCGCGUGAGUGAAGAAGGUUUUCGGAUCGUAAAACUCUGUUGUUAGAGAAGAACAAGGACGUUAGUAACUGAACGUCCCCUGACGGUAUCUAACCAGAAAGCCACGGCUAACUACGUG
rnacentral:rRNA from 1 species